rnacentral:rRNA from 1 species
CCUACGGGCGGCUGCAGUGGGGAAUUUUGGACAAUGGGGGCAACCCUGAUCCAGCCAUUCCGCGUGAGUGAAGAAGGCCUUCGGGUUGUAAAGCUCUUUUGUCCGGAGCGAAACGGGCGGCCCUAAUACGGUCGUCUACUGACGGUACCGGAAGGAUAAGCACCGGCUAACUACGUGCCAGCAGCCGCGGUAAUACGUAGGGUGCGAGCGUUAAUCGGGCGUAGGCGGCGUUGAAAGCGCGAAGGGGGUUCCCCGGGCUCAACCUGGGAAUGGCAUUUGGGACUGCAAGGCUGGAGUGUGGCAGAGGGGACUAGAAUUCCUGGUGUAGCAGUGAAAUGCGUAGAUAUCAGGAGGAAUACCGAUGGCGAAGGCAGGUCCCUGGGUUAACACUGACGCUCAUGCACGAAAGCGUGGGGAGCAAACAGGAUUAGAUACCCGAGUAGUC